GAAGCACAGAACUUAAGCCCCAGUAAACGGCGGCCGUAACUAUAACGGUCCUAAGGUAGCGAAAUUCCUUGUCGGGUAAGUUCCGACCUGCACGAAAGGCGUAACGACUUGGGCGCUGUCUUGAUGGGGGACCCGGUGAAAUUGUAGUACUCGUGAAGAUGCGAGUUACCCGCGACAGGACAGAAAGACCCCAUGGAGCUUUACUGCAGCUUGUCACUGAAUUUUAGUAAUAUCUGUACAGGAUAGGUGGGAGGCGGAGAAAGGUGGGCGCAAGCCUAUCUGGAGCCGACGUUGGGAUACCACCCUGAUAUUACCGAAAUUCUAACAUAUAAGCCGUAAGCCGGCAUAUGGACACUGACAGGCGGGCAGUUUGACUGGGGCGGUCGCCUCCCAAAGAGUAACGGAGGCGUCCAAAGGUUACCUCAGCGCGGAAGGAAAUCGCGCGUAAGAGUGCAAAGGCAGAAGGUAGCCUAACUGCGAGAAAGACAAUUCGAGCAGGGACGAAAGUCGGGCUUAGUGAUCCGGCGGUAGAGAAUGGGAUUGCCGUCGCUCAACGGAUAAAAGCUACCCUGGGGAUAACAGGCUGAUCUCCCCCAAGAGUCCACAUCGACGGGGAGGUUUGGCACCUCGAUGUCGGCUCAUCGCAUCCUGGGGCUGAAGUAGGUCCCAAGGGUUGGGCUGUUCGCCCAUUAAAGCGGUACGCGAGCUGGGUUCAGAACGUCGUGAGACAGUUCGGUCCCUAUCCGUCGCGGGCGUAGGAAAUUUGAGAGGAACUGCCCUUAGUACGAGAGGACCGGGGUGGACAAACCGAUGGUGUACCAGUUGCG
rnacentral:rRNA from 1 species